GAUGAACGCUAGCGGCAGGCCUAAUACAUGCAAGUCGAACGAUAUUUUCCAGCUUGCUGGGAGAGAAAGUGGCGCACGGGUGCGUAACGCGUAUGCAACCUACCUUUAUCAGGGGGAUAGCCCGGAGAAAUCCGGAUUAAUACCGCAUAAAAUCACAGAACGGCAUUGUUCAAUGAUCAAACAUUUAUGGGAUAAAGAUGGGCAUGCGUGUCAUUAGCUAGUUGGCGGGGUAACGGCCCACCAAGGCGACGAUGACUAGGGGAUCUGAGAGGAUGGCCCCCCACACUGGUACUGAGACACGGACCUGAGUCCUACGGGAGGUAGCAGUAAGGAAUAUUGGUCAAGGGAGGCAACUCUGAACCAGCCAUGCCGCGUGCAGGAAGACUGCCCUAUGGGUUGUAAACUGCUUUUAUCCGGGAAUAAACCUCCGAUCGUGAUCGGAGCUGAAUGUACCGGAAGAAUAAGGAUCGGCUAACUCCGUGCCAGCCGCCGCAGUAA
rnacentral:rRNA from 1 species